rnacentral:rRNA from 1 species
ACGAACGCUGGCGGCACGCUUAACACAUGCAAGUCGAACGAGAGAAGAGAAGCUUGCUUUUCUGAUCUAGUGGCGGACGGGUGAGUAACACGUGAGCAAUCUGCCUUUCAGAGGGGGAUACCGAUUGGAAACGAUCGUUAAUACCGCAUAACAUAAUUGAACCGCAUGAUUUGAUUAUCAAAGAUUUAUCGCUGAAAGAUGAGCUCGCGUCUGAUUAGCUAGUUGGUAAGGUAACGGCUUACCAAGGCGACGAUCAGUAGCCGGACUGAGAGGUUGAUCGGCCACAUUGGGACUGAGACACGGCCCAGACUCCUACGGGAGGCAGCAGUGGGGAAUAUUGCACAAUGGAGGAAACUCUGAUGCAGCGAUGCCGCGUGAGGGAAGAAGGUUUUAGGAUUGUAAACCUCUGUCUUCAGGGACGAAAAAUGACGGUACCUGAGGAGGAAGCUCCGGCUAACUACGUGCCAGCAGCCGCGGUAAUACGUAGGGAGCGAGCGUUGUCCGGAAUUACUGGGUGUAAAGGGAGCGUAGGCGGGAUCGCAAGUCAGAUGUGAAAACUAUGGGCUUAACCCAUAAACUGCAUUUGAAACUGUGGUUCUUGAGUGAAGUAGAGGUAAGCGGAAUUCCUAGUGUAGCGGUGAAAUGCGUAGAUAUUAGGAGGAACAUCAGUGGCGAAGGCGGCUUACUGGGCUUUAACUGACGCUGAGGCUCGAAAGCGUGGGGAGCAAACAGGAUUAGAUACCCUGGUAGUCCACGCCGUAAACGAUGAUUACUAGGUGUGGGGGGACUGACCCCUUCCGUGCCGCAGCAAACGCAAUAAGUAAUCCACCUGGGGAGUACGACCGCAAGGUUGAAACUCAAAGGAAUUGACGGGGGCCCGCACAAGCAGUGGAGUAUGUGGUUUAAUUCGAAGCAACGCGAAGAACCUUACCAGGUCUUGACAUCGUAUGCAUAGCUCAGAGAUGAGUGAAAUCUCUUCGGAGACAUAUAGACAGGUGGUGCAUGGUUGUCGUCAGCUCGUGUCGUGAGAUGUUGGGUUAAGUCCCGCAACGAGCGCAACCCUUACUGUUAGUUGCUACGCAAGAGCACUCUAGCAGGACUGCCGUUGACAAAACGGAGGAAGGUGGGGAUGACGUCAAAUCAUCAUGCCCCUUAUGACCUGGGCCUCACACGUACUACAAUGGCUGUCAACAGAGGGAAGCAAAGCCGCGAGGUGGAGCAAACCCCUAAAAGCAGUCUUAGUUCGGAUUGUAGGCUGCAACCCGCCUACAUGAAGUCGGAAUUGCUAGUAAUCGCAGAUCAGCAUGCUGCGGUGAAUACGUUCCCGGGCCUUGUACACACCGCCCGUCACGCCAUGGGAGUCGGUAACACCCGAAGCCUGUAGUCUAACCGCAAGGAGGACGCAGUCGAAGGUGGGAUUGAUGACUGGGGUG